CACUAUCGCUGGGCAUGGAAGUCUAGCCACUGGUGUAAUCAGGUGGGCCAGGGUUCAGAUUUCCUCAGGGUGUGAAAAUGCAAAGUGACCCGGGCCAGCAGGUGUCCUCUUUCAUCCAGCUGGGGUCACUGUCCCCUAAGAGGCCCCAAGCAGGCCCUUCUGGUCACAUGAAGCCUGUAAACCUCAAGCUCCCAGGGACCUGAAUGCAUUCCAAGAGGCCGACCCAGCAGCCCUGAAGCUCCAGCUGAGGGCCUGGCAGUCCCAGCCCUACGUUGCUGGGCAGAGGACACAGGCAUUUCCGAAGCAGCUUGGCCUCCUGCCAGUGGGUCUCCAGAUGCCAUGCAAGACACACCUGAACAGGGGUCCAGCCUGUUCACCACUUCCUGCUCAGCCAACGCAGCUGUUCUGCCGGCCCCGGGGCAGUCGCAGUAAGAGGCCCAUUUCCGGGGGUAGGAGCCAGCCACUCUCUGGGCACGACAGUCUGACUCUCUCCUCUCCCCCAAGGGGAGUCUCAUGAUUUGCAUCUUACGGACAGAAACUGAAGACACUCAACCCCAGUCACAGAAGCAUGGGUAAGUAAAGAGCAGCAGAGGAGGCACAACCCGGAGUGGCGGAUGGAGAGAGUCCUGAAGUGUCCCUGAGGACACGGGAGCAGUGUUCUCCGUGGGACACCCAGAAAUAUAGAUGCGUUUUCUGUGGCACAGGCGGAAGGAAGCACCCUGAGGGAGACAGCAUUAAAAACUACGGAAAAGAAGCAUAAAGCCACAGGCCAUGCACUUAUAAAUGGUUACAAUGGGAAACUUUGUUAGGUGCAUUGUAUCGCAAUUUUAAGUCUUCCUGAUAUAAGCAGAGCCAGGUGGGUCUACACGGUGAGAUCCAGGACAGGCAGGGUCUUAACUGGAUAUUUCUGACAUAAUAAGAUGGUUGAGGGGCAGUACGAGGAUUUCCCCAUUGUUUGGGGUCACCUGAAAGGCAAAAUGCUCCAAAUGCAGACUCAGCCACAAUGUGUUAAGUCUCUGAUUCAAGUCUACAGGCAAAAAUAAAAAGCAGGAGGGAGGUGGGUAGAAGAGAGAG
rnacentral:lncRNA from 1 species